rnacentral:rRNA from 1 species
CAAUAGCGUAUAUUAAAGUUGUUGCGGUUAAAAAGCUCGUAGUUGGAUUUCUGCCGAGGACGACCGGUCCGCCCUCUGGGUGAGCAUCGUGGUAGUCCGGCCGUGGGCAUUCUUUCGUUGGGAACGUGUCUGCACUUGACUGUGUGGUGCGGUAUCCAGGACUUUUACUUUGAGGAAAUUAGAGUGUUUCAAGCAGGCGCACGCCUUGAAUACAUUAGCAUGGAAUAAUAAGAUAGGACCUCGGUUCUAUUUUGUUGGUUUCUAGAGCUGAGGUAAUGAUUAAUAGGGAUAGUUGGGGGCAUUCGUAUUUAACUGUCAGAGGUGAAAUUCUUGGAUUUGUUAAAGACGACUACUGCGAAAGCAUUUGCCAAGGAUGUUUUUCAUUAG